rnacentral:rRNA from 1 species
CCCUUAGAUGUCCGGGGCUGCACGCGCGCUACACUGAAUGAAUCAGCGUGCUAGAAAACCUUGUUUGACAUGGCUAGGUAACCCAUUGAAAAUCAUUCGUGAUUGGGAUCGGGACUUGCAAAUGUGUCCCUUGAACGAGGAAUUCCCAGUAAGUGCGGGUCAUCAGCUCGCGUUGAUUACGUCCCUGCCCUUUGUACACACCGCCCGUCGCUGCCCGGAACUGAGCCGUUUCGAGAAGACCGAGGAUUGCUGACUUGAGGCCUUCACGGGCUUCUAGUCGGUGAAAAUCAAUUUAAUCGCAGCGGCUUGAACCGGGCAAAAGUCGUAACA